AUUGAACGCUGGCAGCAUGCCUUACACAUGCAAGUCGAACGGUAACGCGGGGCAACCUGGCGACGAGUGGCGAACGGGUGAGUAAUACAUCGGAACGUGCCCAGUAGUGGGGGAUAGCCCGGCGAAAGCCGGAUUAAUACCGCAUACGACCUACGGGUGAAAGCAGGGGAUCGCAAGACCUUGCGCUAUUGGAGCGGCCGAUGUCAGAUUAGGUUGUUGGUGGGGUAAAAGCCUACCAAGCCGACGAUCUGUAGCUGGUCUGAGAGGACGACCAGCCACACUGGGACUGAGACACGGCCCAGACUCCUACGGGAGGCAGCAGUGGGGAAUUUUUGGACAAUGGGCGCAAGCCUGAUCCAGCCAUGCCGCGUGCGGGAAGAAGGGCCUUCGG
rnacentral:rRNA from 1 species